rnacentral:misc_RNA from 1 species
GAAAUGCGAUAAGUAAUGUGAAUUGCAGAAUUCAGUGAAUCAUCGAAUCUUUGAACGCACCUUGCGCUCCUUGGUAUUCCUUGGAGCAUGCCUGUUUGAGUAUCAUGAAAUCUUCAAAGUAAAUCUUUUGUUAACUCAAUUGGUUUCUACUUUGGUAUUGGAGGUCUUUGCAGCUUCACACCUGCUCCUCUUUGUUCAUUAGCUGGAUCGCAGUGUUAUGCUUGGUUCCACUCGGCGUGAUAAGUUAUCUAUCGCUGAGGACACUGUAAAAGGUGGCCAAGGUAAAUGCAGAUGAACCGCUUCUAAUAGUCCAUUGACUUGGACAAUACUUUUAUGAUCUGAUCUCAAAUCAGGUAGGACUACCCGCUGAACUUAAGC